UACGUAGGGUGCAAGCGUUAAUCGGAAUUACUGGGCGUAAAGCGUGCGCAGGCGGUUUUGUAAGUUUGUCGUUAAAGCCCCGGGCUCAACCUGGGAAUUGCGAUGAAGACUGCAAGGCUUGAAUCUGGCAGAGGGGGGUAGAAUUCCACGUGUAGCAGUGAAAUGCGUAGAGAUGUGGAGGAACACCGAUGGCGAAGGCAGCCCCCUGGGUCAAGAUUGACGCUCAUGCACGAAAGCGUGGGGAGCAAACAGG
rnacentral:rRNA from 1 species